GUGACGCACUCUCCUGCUUCUAGGCAGCCGCAGCGCUGGCGCUGAGCUCGGGUCCCCAGGGGCUGCUGGGCCCUGUGCCUCUGGAGGCCCCCGCAAAUGUCACCACCUGCGUCCACAUCACGUUCCAGAGCACAAGCGUGAGGGGCAGCCAGUUAAAGAAGCAAAGCCUCCCGGAGGAAAUGUGCUCUAGACUUCGCCACCAGCCAGCCCGAGGGCAGAUCUCAGCUCCGCGUGGACUGGCUGCACCUGGCUGCACCUGACGUGGUGCCCCCAUGCCUGGAGGUCUCCACGCAGACAGCCCUGCUUUGUGGUCACCGGAGAAGAAACCCGGAGGGCGAGAAGAUGUUGUCACCCUGCAGCAUGGCAGAGACUGGGACCUGGUGAUCUCACUGCUUUUUUUUGUAGCUUUUUCUUGUCUUCUCCCGGGAAGGUUACUGACUCCUGACCCCUUUGCUGAGCUUUGGGAUCUACAAAUACAGACUACGUGAGGGUCUCGGUGCCCUUGAACUUGUGAUCCUCCUGCCUCAACUUCCCAAGUAGCUGGGAUUACAGGAGGGCAUUGUCACACCCACGGGGCUGGACAGGGUGACUCUUGACUGUGGGGCAUCUCCCAGUGCAGUGUGGGAUCUUCAGCACCAUCGUUUGACUCUACUCACUAGAUGGCAUCACCCUACCCCAAGCCACUUGUGACAACCAAAAUUGUCCCCAGGACUGUCAGAUAUCUGUGACAGGAAGUGUGGGGCAGAAUUGCUGUUGGUUGAGGAGCGGUGACUUGUGUGCAUUUAUACCAUUAAAUGGUAUUCCUCAGAACCUCCGGCUGCCAGCUGAGAAAGGGAGAAUACUCAGUGUGUGCCAGAAACAUCUCAGAAUCACUCCACAGAAGGCUCUUCUGCCAGGUCAGGUUGAGUGUGUGUGUGUGUGUGUGUGUGUGUGUGUGUGUGU